UUUAAGAAUUUCAGAAAUUCUUUCUACUUGUGUUCUAUUUUUGUUCGUUCUGUUUUGAUUACUUGUAAACGUGAAACUGGAUGCCCUGGGUUCAGCUGCUGCACAUGCCCACGUUAAACGUUGUCACACGCGCACCUUUCUGUGAACCACAUCUGGGCACAUCCCAUCGCUCCAGUGUUUCCAGCACACAGCGGUGGAGGAAGAGCUGUGGUAUGAACCACAAGAAUAAAGCACACAGCCAGCAGCAUGUUUGGCCAACACCAAAUUGAUGGGUCCAGCUGCAAGGUGCCAAAGGGCAGGAGCAACCCAAUGAGCCUUAUCUGGUUAGCCUUGAGAAGAGAAAUCAUGCCAUGGUCUUCUCUAGUCAACCACCAUGAUGGCUGAUACACCAGGCUCUGGAGGGAACUAUCCUUGGGGACUAUCUG